rnacentral:rRNA from 1 species
UCCAGAGGUGGCAAGCGUUGUUCGGCAUUCCUGGGCGUCAAGGGCGCGUAGGCGGUCUUGUCAGUCCUGUGUGAAAUCCCUCGGCUUAACUGAGGAACUGCACGGGAUACUGCGAGACUUGAGAUCGGGAGAGGGAAGCGGAAUUCCGGGUGUAGCGGUGAAAUGCGUAGAUAUCCGGAGGAACACCGGUGGCGAAGGCGGCUUCCUGGACCGACACUGACGCUGAGGCGCGAAAGCUAGGGGAGCAAACGGA